rnacentral:snRNA from 1 species
GUACUCACUUCAGCAGCACAUAUACUAAAACUGGAAUGAUACAGAGAUUAGCAUGGCCCCGAGCAAGGAUCACAUGCAAAUUCAUAAAGCAUUCCAUAUUUAU